rnacentral:rRNA from 1 species
UACGUAGGGUGCAAGCGUUGUCCGGAAUUAUUGGGCGUAAAGAGCUCGUAGGCGGUCUGUCACGUCGGCUGUGAAAACCCGGGGCUCAACCCCGGGCCUGCAGUCGAUACGGGCAGACUAGAGUGCGGUAGGGGAGACUGGAAUUCCUGGUGUAGCGGUGAAAUGCGCAGAUAUCGGGAAGAACACCCGUGGCGAAGGCGGCACUCUGGGACGGUACUGACGCUGAGACGCGAAAGCGUGGGGAGCGAACAGG